CCUACGGGAGGCAGCAGUCGAGAAUCAUUCACAAUGGGGGAAACCCUGAUGGUGCGACGCCGCGUGGGGGAAUGAAGGCCUUCGGAUUGUAAACCCCUGUCAUGUGGGAGCAAAUUAAAAAGAUAGUACCACAAGAGGAAGAGACGGCUAACUCUGUGCGAGCAGCCGCGGUAAGACAGAGGCCUCAAGCGUGGUGCGGAAUCACUGGGCGUAAAGCGGGGGUAGGCGGGUUCGUAAGUCGUGUGUGAAAGUCGCGGGCUCAACCCGCGGAGGGCACAUGAUAAUGGGAUACUAGAGUAAAGGAGGGGGAACCGGGAUUCUCGGUGUAGCAGUGAAAUGCGUAGAUAUCGAGAGGAACACUCGUGGCGAAGGCGGGUUCCUGGACUUUAACUGACGCUGAGGCACGAAGGCCAGGGUAGCGAAAGGGAUUAGAUACCCUUGUAGUC
rnacentral:rRNA from 1 species